CACAGANUGGAUAACACCUGGAAACAGAUGCUAAUACCGGAUAACAACAGAUGAUGCCUAUCAACUGUUUAAAAGAUGGUUCUGCUAUCACUCUUGGAUGGACCUGCGGUGCAUUAGCUAGUUGGUAGGGUAACGGCCUACCAAGGCGAUGAUGCAUAGCCGAGUUGAGAGACUGAUCGGCCACAUUGGGACUGAGACACGGCCCAAACUCCUACGGGAGGCAGCAGGC
rnacentral:rRNA from 1 species